GGUGAGGGGCAGGGAGAAAGCUCCCUGCUAAACCACGAGACCGGUCCCAAGUCCGG
rnacentral:ribozyme from 1 species